rnacentral:rRNA from 1 species
GACGAACCGUGCGAACGUUGUUCGGAAUCACUGGGCUUAAAGCGUGUGUAGGCGGGCGAUCAAGUACCUUGUGAAAUCCCACGGCUCAACCGUGGAACCGCUGGGUAUACUGGUUGUCUUGAGCCGGCUAGGGGCGAGCGGAACAGACGGUGGAGCGGUGAAAUGCGUAGAUAUCGUCUGGAACGCCGAAGGUGAAAACAGCUCGCUGGGGCCGCGCUGACGCUGAUGCACGAAAGCUAGGGGAGCAAACAGG